UACGUAGGGUGCAAGCGUUGUCCGGAAUUAUUGGGCGUAAAGAGCUCGUAGGCGGUUUGUCGCGUCUGCUGUGAAAACUCGGGCUUAACCCCGGGCCUGCAGUGGGUACGGGCAGACUAGAGUGCGGUAGGGGAGACUGGAAUUCCUGGUGUAGCGGUGAAAUGCGCAGAUAUCAGGAGGAACACCGGUGGCGAAGGCGGGUCUCUGGCCGUAACUGACGCUGAGGCACGAAAGCGUGGGUAGCAAACAGG
rnacentral:rRNA from 1 species